GCCCCGUAAAGUAUAAAUGUUAAUAUUUGUAACUGUAGGGGGGUAUGACUGUACACUGAUUAUUGAAUAUCGAAGUGUGAUUAUGCUAUUCUGAACAGGACAAUCAUAGUUCGAAAAUUUCGAAAUAAUAUAGUAUAAUGUUUCGAACCUGUUCGCACAUAUGUGGUGACACGUCUGGCAAUUUACAUAAGCUUUUGCGCAGUUAACGGACCUUUUGUCUUUUGAUUGUACAAUUAUAAAGUUUUCUGCGAAAGUUUUCAUCCAAUUUUUUUUCUAAGCUGCGAUUGUUUCGAUGGUGGACGAACAACAUUUUUACAGGGGUGGCCGGUGGGCUACGUUCGUUGAUGGGUGAAUGUCCAAGUUGGCGUCCACGUUGAUGGGUGAAUGACGUUUACACGUAUCGUAUAUUCCGCAGCUUAAUUGUGAAUUCUAAUCGCUAGUUCUCUACCACGCUAAUACGGUGCUAUUAACGCUGUGGCGAAUGUUAAUUAGGAAAAGGAACAGGAAAUUCAGGAAUUGAGUCGUCCAUUGCGCAAUGCUGGAGCAUUGCUGGGAUUCAUCUAUACUUGUACAGGUAGUUUACUUAAAUUCGUGCUGAAUUCAGUCGUGGAGGAUUGCAGAAGGUGAGCAGCGCCGGCCUGUUCCUUAAAUGUAUUACAAGCACUUGACAAGGCUGUAUAAGCUUCGGCAUAGCUGCAUCAGCCUGCAUGGGACUAAAUUUGUGCCGUUUCAUGCAUAUGAAGAUAACUCGGCAUUAAUUUAAAUAAAAACGAUAAACCUCAGUGAAUAAUUUUUUCUACUAUUAUUCUGAUGAUUGAAUUGACAAAAAAGUGCCCGGGUAUGCACUCCAGGUAUGUAUAAUGUUUUUUCAUGGACAUGCGAUAUCCGUUUUGAUGGCGAUUUUAAUAAUUGCGGAUGUUAUUUAGUCCGAUCUCCACGAUGACAUUUGUGAAAAGAACAGCAUGUUAAUCUGCUAUCAGCUACUAUUGCUACGCACGAUCUGGAUCAGAUCUCGGAUAAUAUGGUUUACGAUGCAAAAUGAAGAAAAACAAUGCACUUGGAUUUGUCCCGUGAAGAGGUCCGCGGAAAUAUCGGCCGACAUCAGCUGAAAUAGGAAGCCGAUGCGUUAAAGAAAAAGAACAAGCGAAACACGUUCUCCGGCAUUCAUAAGUUCUUUCUAGUGAAAUUCGUGACAAGGGUAACGCUGCGAACGGAGAGCAGCCGGUUGGGAAGAGAAUCGUGGUUCAGCAAGUGCAUGUGAAGGACGAAGACAGCGGUUUGAAAGUAGUUUUUACUUUUACCUUAAUAUGGAAGGUAAAAAAGUGUUACGAUAAGGAUAGACAAUUCGCUGUUUGUAGUUAUUUCUCUGUUGUUACACUUCUACCUUUUGGUUGUCUGAUAUUGAAUAAACUGUUACAGUACUGUAUAUAUAUGCAUUGAUAUAU